rnacentral:rRNA from 1 species
GUGCCAGCCGCCGCGGUAAUACGUAGGUGGCAAGCGUUGUCCGGAUUUAUUGGGCGUAAAGCGCGCGCAGGCGGUUUCUUAAGUCUGAUGUGAAAUCCCCGGGCUUAACUUUGGGGCUUCAUUGGAAACUGGGUGACUUGAGUGCAGAAGAGGAAAGCAGAAUUCCAAGUGUAGCGGUGAAAUGAGUAGAGAUUUGGAGGAAAACCAGUGGCGAAGGCGACUUUCUGGUCUGCAACUGACGCUGAGGCGCGAAAGCAUGGGGAGCAAACAGGAUUAGAUACCCUGGUAGUCCAUGCCGUAAACGAUGAAUGCUAAGUGUAGGAGG